AAUUUACUAUACUUUUCUAUAAUUUACUAUACUUUUCUAUAAUUUACUAUACUAUACAGAGACUCUAUUCUGCUACAAGUAUUUAAUACUUCUACUCUACUAGACUUUACUCUACUAACUAUAGGAGGAUAACUAUUACUAUAGGAGGAUAACUAUUACUAUAGGAGGAUAACUAUUACUAUAGGAGGAUAACUAUUACUAUAGGAGGAAUACUAUAGGAGGGAUACUACUACGUCUUACUAAACUAUAGGAGGAAUACCAUACUAUAGGAGGAAUACUUUACUAUACUCUUCUAUAUUAAUAAUCUUAAUAAUCUUAAUAAUCUUAAUAAUCUUAAUAAUCUUAAUAAUCUUAGUAAUCUUAAUAAUCUUAAUAAUCUUAGUACUAUACUCUACUAUAGAUAACUUUUCUAGACUAUACUAUCUUAAUAUUUAACUAUCUUAAUACUUAAGUAGAAUCCUUCUUACAAUACCUUACAUUACAAUAAUAAAUACUUUACUAGAGUUCUACUAACAAUAAUAAAAACAUUACUAGAGUUCUACUAAGAAUAAUAAAUACUUUACUAGAGUCUUACUAUAAGAAUACUUAACUAGAUUCCCUUUAACUAUUCUAUUAUACUCUAUUAUAUUAUAUUAUAUUCUAUUCUAUUAACAGAACUCUUAACAUAAUACCAUAAUUACCAUAACUAUUAACAUUAACUCUUAACAUUAAGUAUUUCCAAUAACUAUUAACAUUAAGUAUUUCCAAUAACUAUUAACCUUAACUAUUUCCAGAUCUAUUAACAUUAACUAUAAAUAGAACUAGUAACAUUAACUAUUCCCGUAACUAUAACUAUUUAGAUUAACUAUACCCAUAACUAAUAACUAUUACCAGAACUAUAACUAUAACUAUUUAGAUUAACUAAUACCAUAACUAUUAAGAUUAACUAUUACCAUAACUAUUAACUAUAACCAUAACUAUAACUAUCAUUAUAACUAUCAUUAUAACUAUAUCUUUAACUAUAUCUUUAACUAUUAAGAAUAACUAUUAGCAUAACCAGAUCAUUCUCAAUUUUAUAACCAUAUCCUUAAGGAGGGAAGGUCCUUAUUGUAUAUUUGUAUAACCAUUAUAUGUAUUUUUAUUAGUAAGACCUCGAUACUCCUACUCCUACUCCUACUACUACUCAUACUCCUAGUCCUACUCCUACUCCUGAUCAGGGAUAGGUGAUUAUAGUUUUAUAUCUAAUAGGUGAUUAUAGUUUUAUAUCUAAUAGGUGAUUAUAGUGUUAUAUCUAAUAGUAGCUAAUGUAGGACGGACACAAGGUACUUAGUUGCUAGUAUACUUUAUUUAGUUAUAUAUCCUUUACCCUAGCAGUAUGUAUAUCCAGUUUAUCCAGUAUAUCCAGUAUAUCCAGUAUAUCCAGCAUAUAUCAGUAUAACCCAUAGCUGUUUUCCCUUUCUUAACUAGUAAUUCAAUACCCUUAACUAGUAAUACCCUUAACUAGUAAUUCAAUUCUAUUAACUAGUAAUACCCUUAACUAGUAAUACCCUAAACUAGUAUAUCCUUUACCCUAUAUUUAUAUCCAUUACCUACUAUAAACCAUAUAUUUAUAACCAUUAUCUACUAUAAACCAUAUUUUUAUAUGCAAUAGCUACUAUAAACCAUAUAUUUAUAACCAUUAGCUACUAUAAACCAUAUAUACCUUAUCUUCGUAUCGUAUAACCCUUAUGUCCAAUAUCUUCCUAUUACCCUUAUCUUUAUAACACUUAUAUUUAUAUCUUCCUAUAACCCUUAUCUUUAUAACCCUUAUCUUUAUAACACUUAUAUUGGUAUGGUAGGCAUAUCCCAGCAUAACUCUUUAUAACCAUUAUAUUGGUAUUGUACUGUAUAUACAAGCAUAUAACUUUAUAACCAUUAUAUUGUAUAUACCAGCAUAUAUCACUAGAACCCUUAUAUUGGUAUUGGUAUAGGUAUUGGUAUAGGUAUUGGUAUAGGAAUUGAUAUUGAUAUUGUAUCUACCCGCAGAUAUCCUUAUAACCCAAAUCUUUAUAACCCUAGCCAGAUAUUGUUUGUGUAGGUGUGUAGGUAUACCCCAACAUAUUUAUACUAGACAACUACUCUUCUAGAAUAUAGAAUAUAGAAUAUAGAAUAUAGAAUAUAGAUUACUUUAGUUAGACUUUCUAGAAUAUAGAAUACUUUAGACUACUACUCUACUUUACUAAUAUUAUUGAUUAAGUUAUGCUAUUAUCUUAAUUAUCUUAAUUAUCUUAUAUUCUAUGCUAUUCAAUGCUAUUCUAUUCAAUGCUAUUAUCUGAUAUUCUAUGCUAUUCAAUGCAAUGCUAUUCUAUUCAAUGCUAUUAUCUUAAUUUAUCUAAUAUUCUAUUAUAUUAUUCUAUAUCCUAUUAUAUCCUAUUAUAUCUUAUUAUAUUCUCCCCAAUUACCUAUAAGAAUAUUUAAUCUACCAAUGUAUUUAAGUAUGUCAGUAUAUUUUUAUGUUUAUAUGUAAGUAUGUUUUUAUAUGUUUAUAUGUAAGUAUGUUUUUAUAUGUUUAUAUGUAAGGAUGUAGGUGUGUAUGGUUGUAUAUAAGAAUGUAUGUAAGUAAGACCGACUCCCACUAAAGAAUUAAUACCUAGUUAGUAGUGAGUGAAUACCUAGUUAGUAGUGAGUGAAUACCUAGUUAGUAAAGAAAUAAUACCUAGUUAUUACUGAGUGAAUACCUAGUUAGUAGUGAGUGAAUACCUAGUUAGUAGUGAGUGAAUACCUAGCUAGUAAUGAGUGAAUACAUAAUUAUUAAUGAUUUAGUAAAUAGUAAGUACAGAUUAAGUAGGUAGUAAGUAAUUAGUAAAUAGUAAGUACAGAUUAGUAAAGAUUAAGUAGGUAUUAAGUAAAUAGUAAGUACAGAUUAGUAAAGAAAUAUUAAGUAUGGAGUAAGUACAGAUUAGUAUAGUAAAGAAAGAUUAAGUACGGAGUUAGUAUAGAUUAGUAAAGAAUUAGUACGGAGUUAGUACGGAUUUAGUACAGCUUUAGUAAGUAGUAAGUAGUAAGUAGUAAGUAGUAAAUAGUAAUUACAUAAUUAGUAACUAGUAAAUAGUAGAAAUUAGUAGAAAAUACUAGUAAUUAGUAAGUAAGUAAGUAAGUAAGUAAGUAAGUAAGUAAGUAAUUAUAAAAUAGUAUAAAUUAGUAGAAAUUAGAAGGUAAUUAGUAGUGAGUGAGUAGUAGUAACUAAUUUUAUAUGAGUAGUAGUAACUAAUUUUAUAUGAGUAGUAGUAACUAGUUUAAUAAGAGUAGUAGUAACUAGUUUAAUAAGAGUAGUAGAAGUAUGAGUAGCACUAUAAGUUAGAGUAAGAGUAGCAGUAGCAUAAUCACUAACAGUAAGAUUAAGAGUAGCAGUAGUAGAAACACUAAGACUAAGAGUCCUAUUAAGAGUAUGACUAAGAGUCCUAUAUACUGAACUAGUUCAUUUAGGUAGAUAUAUUAAGAGUAAGAGUCCUAUUAAGAGUAAGAGUAAGAGUAAGAGUCCUAUUAAGAGUAAGAGUAGCAGUAAGACUAAGAGUCCUACUAAGAGUAGCAGUAACCCUAACAGUAGGCACUAGUAGUAGCAUUACGCAAUUCGCAUUAGAUGUAAGUAGAUGUAAGUAGAUUUAAGUAGAUGUAAGUAGAAUUAAGUAGAUUUAAGUAGAUGUAAGUAGAAGAAUAUACCUAUUCUAUAUUCUAUAUUCUAUAAUCUAUCAACUAUAAGCUAUAAUAUAUAUCAACUAUAAACAAUAAACUAUCUGCUAUAAUCGAUAUACUAUCAUCUAUCAAGUAUAAACUAUAUACUAUAAACUAUAAACUAUUAAAUAUUAAGAUAAACUAUAUACGAAAUUCUAUAAACUAAUUAUUAAUUACUACUUAUUAGAUUACUAAUUAUUAUUAAUUACUACUUAUUAGAUUAUUAUUAAUUAAUUAUUAUUAAUUACUACUUAUUAGAUUUAAUUAUUAUUAUUAUUAGAUUACUAAUUAUUUACUGUUAAUAUAUU
rnacentral:rRNA from 1 species